CAAUUCGCUAGUAAUUAGCAGCUAGGUGACAUUAUUUGCUGUUGGCAUAACGUGGAGGAUCUAUGUUUCUUUUGUCUCGUGUUUCUUUGGGAUUCUUAUAGAUGGUGGAUGUGCAUGGGUGCUGACUACUGUUUGAACGAACUGGCCACGCCUUGGCUCUCAUUUUCUGCCAGCAUCGGAUGUUUUUGACUGACCCCAGGGCACCUUAUAUCUAUUGUUGUGAGGGUUAAAUUGUAAAAUUUCUGGCCCGUGGUUCAUUCCUUACCAACUAAUGCACUCAGGUGUAAAAGAAAAUUCCUGUAAUGUAUACACAAACAUUUAUAUACAAUUUUGCACUGUAAAUAUACUAAUAUUAGUUUCAAUGGAGUGCACCCACAAAUUAAUGUACCU
rnacentral:lncRNA from 1 species